UGGGGAAUUUUGGACAAUGGGCGAAAGCCUGAUCCAGCCAUGCCGCGUGAGUGAAGAAGGCCUUCGGGUUGUAAAGCUCUUUUAGUCGGAAAGAAAGAGUUGCAAUGAAUAAUUGUGAUUUAUGACGGUACCGACAGAAAAAGCACCGGCUAACUACGUGCCAGCAGCCGCGGUAAUACGUAGGGUGCAAGCGUUAAUCGGAAUUACUGGGCGUAAAGGGUGCGCAGGCGGUCUUGCAAGUCAGAUGUGAAAGCCCCGGGCUUAACCUGGGAAUUGCGUUUGAAACUACAAGACUAGAGUGCAGCAGAGGGGAGUGGAAUUCCAUGUGUAGCAGUGAAAUGCGUAGAGAUGUGGAAGAACACCGAUGGCGAAGGCAGCUCCCUGGGUUGACACUGACGCUGAGGCGCGAAAGCGUGGGGAGCAAACA
rnacentral:rRNA from 1 species